rnacentral:sRNA from 1 species
UCAAAUUAGACCAUCUAACUAAAUACCUCUAUGAAAAGCGCUUAUUCAAACAGUUCACUUUCCUACUUAAAUUAAUCAUAACUUCAGGGCGAGACAUAAGACUACAUAUAUAAACCAAGAAAAACCAUUUAUGGAACCAGUCACAGUACAACAACAAUCACGGUCCAUUCGAUUCAACACUCUUUAGAAUUACAAAACACUUUAUGUAAUAAUGUAAGAAUGUGAAAGAAGAGCCUCUAAUUGAGUCCGAGACUCCCUCACUUACUCACACACACAUUUUAGUUAACGGUGACUUUACCGACCAUACCAGCACCCUGAUGUGGCGCACAGUAGAAGCUGUAAGUCCCUGGCUCGGUCAAAGCAACCUCGUACGUCUCUCCCGCACCGUUGAGUAGAUCUUGCUCGUCCAUCGAGAUCUUGGCCACGUCGACGCCACUUGGGAUCUCGUCUUCAUCGAAGACAACAUUGUGUGGGUAUCCAGCGUUGUUCUUGAACACAAUCUUCUCUCCUUUAGCUAUAGAGAAGUCGUUGGGAAUAAAAGCUAACGACCCAUCCCCUCCUCCCAAGAGAACUUCUAUUGCCAUGGCGUUUCCGGCCAAAGCAAUUGAAGCUGCAGCCGCUACGGCCGCGACUCCGAAGUUCUUUAGAGAUGACUUCACUGUAAGCUUCGGUGAUGCAACAGCAGCAGUUUGGAUUCUGACGGUGGCGGAUGAUUUGAUGGUUGAGGCUUUAAGGCCGGUGAAAGAUGGGAUUGCAACGGUGGCUGAGGUUACUGAGGCCAUGAUGAAGAUUCUUUUAGAGUAGUGAUAAGAUUUGGGUUUUAAGUUUUUCGUUUAGCUUUGGUUCGAUCGAGUUUAUGAGUUUUUAU